UACGUAGGGUGCGAGCGUUAAUCGGAAUUACUGGGCGUAAAGCGUGCGCAGGCGGUUUUUCAAGACCGAUGUGAAAUCCCCGGGCUUAACCUGGGAAUGGCAUUGGUGACUGGAAGGCUAGAGUGUGUCAGAGGGGGUAGAAUUCCACGUGUAGCAGUUAAAUGCGUAGAGAUGUGGAGGAAUACCGAUGGCGAAGGCAGCCCCCUGGGCCAAUACUGACGCUCAUGCACGAAAGCGUGGGGAGCAAACAGG
rnacentral:rRNA from 1 species